rnacentral:rRNA from 1 species
UACGUAGGGUGCGAGCGUUAAUCGGAAUUACUGGGCGUAAAGCGUGCGCAGGCGGUUCGUUGUGUCUGAUGUGAAAGCCCCGGGCUCAACCUGGGAAUGGCAUUGGAAACUGGCGAGCUAGAGUGUGGCAGAGGGGGGGUGGAAUUCCGCGUGUAGCAGUGAAAUGCGUAGAGAUGCGGAGGAACACCGAUGGCGAAGGCAGCCCCCCUGGGCUAGCACUGACGCUCAGGCACGAAAGCGUGGGGGAGCAAACAGG